rnacentral:rRNA from 1 species
GCAAGUUGCGCGGUGAUCUCAAGAAGUUUUCGGACGGAAAGGGAGAGCAGCAGCGGACGGGUGAGUAAAGCACAAGGACUUGUCCCGAAGAGGGGGACAACUGUGGGAAACCACAGCUAAUACCCCAUAAGCCGAGAGGUGAAAGCAGCGAUGCGCUUUAGGAGAGACUUGUGUCCUAUCAGGUAGUUGGUGAGGUAACGGCUCACCAAGCCGAAGACGGGUAGCCGGACUGAGAGGUUGUACGGCCACAUUGGAACUGAGAGACGGUCCAGACUCCUACGGGAGGCAGCAGUGGGGAAUAUUGGGCAAUGGGGGCAACCCUGACCCAGCGACGCCGCGUGAGGGAAGACAGCCUUCGGGUUGUAAACCUCUGUUGCAGGGGAAGAAGAAAGUGACGGUACCCUGCGAGGAAGCUCCGGCAAACUACGUGCCAGCAGCCGCGGUAAUACGUAGGGAGCGAGCGUUGUCCGGAAUUACUGGGCGUAAAGGGCGCGUAGGCCGUGUUAUAAGUUAGUUGUAAAACGUGUGGGCUUAACCCGCAUUCGCAACUAAAACUGUAACGCUAGAGGCAUAGAGAGGCAGACGGAAUUCCUGGUGUAGCGGUGAAAUGCGUAGAUAUCAGGAAGAACACCGGUGGCGAAGGCGGUCUGCUGGCUAUGAACUGACGCUGAAGCGCGAAAGCCAGGGGAGCAAACGGGAUUAGAUACCCCGGUAGUCCUGGCAGUAAACGAUGUAUGCUGGGUGUGGGCGUAGCGAUACGUCCGUGCCGAAGUUAACGCGAUAAGCAUACCGCCUGGGGAGUACGGUCGCAAGAUUGAAACUCAAAGGAAUUGACGGGGGCCCGCACAAGCGGUGGAGCACGUGGUUUAAUUUCGAUGCAAACC